GAACGCUGGCGGCAUGCCUUACACAUGCAAGUCGAACGGCAGCGGGGGGAGCUUGCUCCCUGACGGCGAGUGGCGGACGGGUGAGUAACACGUAGGAAUCUACCUUAAUUAUAAUAGUUAGUGGGGGAUAACCCGGGGAAACUCGGGCUAAUACCGCAUAAUCUCUUCAAAGCAAAGCGGGGGAUCUUCGGACCUCGUGCUAUGAGAUGAGCCUGCGUCGGAUUAGCUAGUUGGUAGGGUAAUGGCUUACCAAGGCGACGAUCCGUAGCUGGUCUGAGAGGACGAUCAGCCACACUGGGACUGAGACACGGCC
rnacentral:rRNA from 1 species